rnacentral:rRNA from 1 species
UGAAUACGAGAUGCUACGGCGUCGAAGCAGUGUAUGUCAGACUUCCAAGAAAAGCUCGCAAUGUCAUAAAUAAAGAAUGCCUGUACCAUAACCGACACAGGUGGGUAGGUAGAGUAUACUAAGGGGCGCGAGAUAACUCUCUCUAAGGAACUCGGCAAAAUAACUCCGUAACUUCGGGAGAAGGAGUGCCUCCUUUAAGAAGGUUGCAAUAACAAGAUCCAAGCAACUGUUUAUCAAAAACACAGGUCUCCGCUAAGUCGUAAGACGAUGUAUGGGGGCUGACGCCUGCCCAGUGCCAGAAGGUUAAAGAAGUUGGUUAGCUUUUGCGAAGCUGAUGACUGAAGCCCUGGUGAACGGCGGCCGUAACUAUAACGGUCCUAAGGUAGCGAAAUUCCUUGUCGGGUAAGUUCCGACCCGCACGAAAGGCGUAAUGAUUUGGAUACUGUCUCGGAGAGGGACUCGGUGAAAUAGACUUGUCUGUGAAGAUGCGGACUACCUGCACCAGGACAGAAAGACCCUAUGAAGCUUUACUGUAACUUGAAAUUGAAAUUGGACUUUAUUUGCGCAGUAUAGGUGGAAGGCGUUGAAAGUAAUCUUGCGGGAUUAGUGGAGCCAUCAGUGAGAUACCACUCCUAUAAUGUUAGAUUUCUAACUUUGGAUCAUGAUCUGGUCAAAGAACAGUUUCAGGCGGGCAGUUUGACUGGGGCGGUCGCCUCCCAAAUGGUAACGGAGGCGUACAAAGGUUUCCUCUGAACGGGUAGAAAUCGUAUCUAGAGUGUAAAGGCAUAAGGAAGCUUGACUGUGAGACCUACAAGUCGAGCAGGGACGAAAGUCGGUCUUAGUGAUCUGACGGUGCUGAGUGGAAAGGCCGUCACUCAACGGAUAAAAGUUACUCUAGGAUAACAGGCUGAUCUCCCCCAAGAGUUCACAUCGACGGGGAGGUUUGGCACCUCGAUGUCGGCUCAUCGCAUCCUGGGGCGGUAGUACGUCCCAAGGGUUGGGCUGUUCGCCCAUGAAAGCGGUACGCGAGCUGGGUUCAGAACGUCGUGAGACAGUUCGGUCCAUAUCCGGUGUAGGCGUUAGAAUAUUGAGAGGAGCCUUCUUUAGUACGAGAGGACCGAGAAGGACAUACCUCUGGUGUACCAGUUAUCGUGCCAACGGUAAACGCUGGGUAGCUAUGUAUGGAGAGGAUAACCGCUGAAAGCAUCUAAGUGGGAAGCCCACCUCAAGAUGAGUAUUCU